AGAAUCAACGCUGGCGGCGUGCCUAACACAUGCAAGUCGCACGAGAAAGGGUAGCAAUACCUGAGUACAGUGGCGCACGGGUGAGUAACACGUGAAUUAUCUACCUCCGAGUGGGGAAUAACUGAGAGAAAUCUUAGCUAAUACCGCAUAACACUUACGAGUCAAAGCAGCAAUGCGCUUGGAGAGGAGUUCGCGGCAGAUUAGUUAGUUGGCGGGGUAAUGGCCCACCAAGACGAUGAUCUGUAUCCGG
rnacentral:rRNA from 1 species